rnacentral:rRNA from 1 species
AUACAGAGGGUGCGAGCGUUGUUCGGAAUUAUUGGGCGUAAAGCGCAAGUAGGCGGCCUGCCAAGUCGCGUGUGAAAGCUCCCGGCUCAACCGGGAAAGUGCGCGCGAAACUGGUGGGCUUGAGUGCCGGAGAGGGUGGCGGAAUUCCCGGUGUAGAGGUGAAAUUCGUAGAUAUCGGGAGGAACACCAGAGGCGAAGGCGGCCACCUGGAAGGACACUGACGCUGAGAGGCGAAAGCGUGGGGAGCAAACAGGAUUAGAUACCCUGGUAGUCCACGCCGUAAACGAUGAGUGCUAGCUGUGGCGGGAGUUGACCCCUGCCGUGGCGACGCUAACGCAAUAAGCACUCCGCCUGGGGAGUACGGCCGCAAGGCUAAA